rnacentral:rRNA from 1 species
GUCUACGGCCAUGCCACCCUGAACAAGCCCAAUCCCGUCUGAUCUCGGAAGCUAAGCAGGGUCGGGCCUGGUUAGUACUUGGAUGGGAGACCACCUAGGAAGACCAGGUGCUGUAAGCA